rnacentral:misc_RNA from 1 species
GAUGAAGUACGUAGCGAAAUGCGAUAAGUAAUGUGAAUUGCAGAAUUCAGUGAAUCAUCGAAUCUUUGAACGCACAUUGCGCCCGCCAGUAUUCUGGCGGGCAUGCCUGUUCGAGCGUCAUUUCAACCAUCAAGCCCCCGGCUUGUGUUGGGGACCUGCGGCUGCCGCAGGCCCUGAAAAGCAGUGGCGGGCUCGCUGUCACACCGAGCGUAGUAGCAUACAUCUCGCUCUGGGCGUGCUGCGGGUUCCGGCCGUUAAACCACCUUCAUAACCCAAGGUUGACCUCGGAUCAGGUAGGAAGACCCGCUGAACUUAAGCAUAUCAAUAAGCGGAGGA